rnacentral:rRNA from 1 species
CCUACGGGUGGCUGCAGUGGGGAAUUUUGCGCAAUGCUCGUAAGAGUGACGCAGCGACGCCGCGUGAAUGACGAAGGCCUUCGGGUCGUAAAGUUCUUUAAUCAGGGACGAAGGAAAUGACGGUACCUGAGGAAUAAGCCACGGCAAACUAUGUGCCAGCAGCCGCGGUAAUACAUAGGUGGCAAGCGUUGUCCGGAAUGACUGGGCGUAAAGGGAGCGUAGGCGGUCUGUUAAGUUGGAAGUGAAAUCCCGGGGCUCAACCCCGGAACUGCUUUCAAGACUGACGGACUUGAGUGUAAGAGGGGUAAGCGGAAUUCCUAGUGUAGCGGUGGAAUGCGUAGAUAUUAGGAGGAACACCAGUGGCGAAGGCGGCUUACUGGAUUAUAACUGACGCUGAGGCUCGAAAGCGUGGGUAGCAAACAGGAUUAGAUACCCCUGUAGUC